rnacentral:rRNA from 1 species
AUGUCACUGUGGAGGUCUCAACAAGUUCUGUUUCUGAAUUCACCCUGUUCCCGGUUGCAGGAUCAAAUAUAUAAGCUCCAGAUCAUGGGUUGGUUAAACAAAAUAUUUAAAGGCUCAGUAAACAGAGUUUCAAGGGGUCAUUAUGAUGGCCACUGGCAUGAAGGCAACCAAUCUGAGCACACCAGAGAUGCAUAUGAUGAGAGUGACAGUGAAGAUAUAGCUCGUGCUAUUGCAUUAUCCUUAGCAGAGCAAGAUCCGAAUAAGGGAAAGGCUAUUGAUCCUGAUUAUAGUUUGGAGGAAGAUGAGCAACUUGCACGGGCUCUCCAGGAGAGCCUUAAUACCGAGUCUCCUCCUCGUCAAAAUGCUCCUGUUGAGAAUGUUCCAUCAGAGAGUAUCCCAACAAGGGAGCCACAUCAGUCUGUCUUGCCCUCAAGUGGAUUCAGGACUUGUGCUGGAUGUAGAAAGCCAAUUGGUCAUGGGCGUUUUCUUAGUUGUAUGGAUGAAGUUUGGCAUCCUCAGUGCUUCAAAUGUUAUGCUUGCAAUAAGCCCAUAUCAGAGUAUGAGUUCGCCAUGCAUGAAGACCAGCCAUACCACAAAUCCUGCUAUAAAGAUUUUUUUCAUCCAAAAUGUGAUGUCUGCAAGAACUUUAUUCCGACAAAUAAGAAUGGCCUGAUCGAAUACCGAGCACAUCCUUUUUGGAUGCAAAAGUACUGCCCUUCCCAUGAAGACGAUGGCACUCCUAGGUGUUGCAGCUGUGAAAGAAUGGAGCCAACGGACAUCAAAUAUAUUACAUUAGAUGAUGGGAGGAAACUGUGCUUGGAAUGUCUCACUUCUGCAACAAUGGACUCUCCCGAAUGCCAACACCUUUACAUGGACAUUCAGGAAUUUUUUGAAGGUUUGAAUAUGAAAGUAGAACAGCAGGUUCCAUUACUUUUGGUUGAGCGUCAGGCUCUGAAUGAAGCGUUGGAAGCUGAGAAAAGUGGACAUCACCUUCCUGAAACCAGAGGUCUAUGUCUUUCUGAAGAACAAAUUGUCAGAACUAUCUUAAAAAGACCAACAAUUGGACCAGGAAACAGAAUUAUGGAUAUGAUUACAGGACCAUACAAGCUGGUCCGACGGUGUGAAGUGACCGCCAUCCUAAUACUGUAUGGUCUACCAAGAUUGCAAACUGGCUCCAUCCUUGCUCACGAGAUGAUGCACGCAUAUCUUCGCCUUAAAGGAUACCGAUCCCUUAGCCCUCAGGUUGAAGAAGGCAUCUGUCAAGUCCUAUCCCACAUGUGGCUUGAGUCUGAAAUCAUUGCCGGUGCUAGUGGCAACGCUUCUUCCAGCUCGGCAUCAUCAUCGUCUUCGUCGGCAGCUCCUACCUCUUCAAAGAAGGGAGCGAAGACAGAAUUUGAGAAGAAACUCGGGGCGUUCAUCAAGAAUCAGAUCGAAACAGAUUCGUCCGUGGAAUAUGGGGAUGGUUUUCGGGCAGGCAUUCAAGCGGUUGAACAAUAUGGCUUGAGAAGUACCCUUGCUCAUAUGAGGCUGACAGGGUCCUUUCCUUAUUGA